rnacentral:rRNA from 1 species
UACGUAGGUGACAAGCGUUGUCCGGAUCUAUUGGGUUUAAAGGGUGCGUAGGCGGCUUGAUAAGUCAGUGGUGAAAGCCGAUCGCUUAACGAUCGAGCUGCCAUUGAUACUGCCAGGCUUGAGUAUAGUUGAGGUAGGCGGAGUUGACAGUGUAGCGGUGAAAUGCAUAGAUAUUGUCAAGAACACCAAUUGCGAAGGCAGCUUACCAAAGCAUAACUGACGCUGAGGCACGAAAGUGCGGGGAUCAAACAGG